CUCGUUUAAUGUUCGCCAGUUGCUGGGCGAGAAGUGGUGAGGUGGGAUGGUCGCGGAAGGUCCCCGCCUCGGCUUCAAGUCUAUUUCGUUUCUCUUUCCACCCGUUUUUCCCUCGUGUUUGUCUUUUGCAAGUGCUUGGAAUACGUUUUGUCACUGAAAGUCUACAGCUUCACAGGAUUCAUUUCGCAUGUUCGUUCCGAGGAGAAGUGUAAAUGCAUUAAAAGUGAAUUAUAUACAGAUUAUUUCAGUGAUCUACGUGGAAAAAAAUAUAGUAGUUUCCUAAUAAUAACAUAGAAAGUGAUUUAAAUUUGAAUUUCAGUGACAGUGAUCACAAGCCAGGUUUAGUUAAUGGAAGGAGACACUUGCACUGGGACCGGAGAAUGAAAUUUCAGUAAGGUCAUGGCGCCAUCGUUGAACACAUUCCAGAAUAAAUGGAAGACGACUUCCAGCUGAAGGAAAGGUGAGGCGGAGAUUCAUUCCCUGGAGGGGCGGCUGAUGUUCCUCUCUCUCUCUGGGGAACUCCUAUCAAAUCCCUCGCAAUUAUCCCUCACCUGUACAGCGUCUCUGAAGGUUCUUGAAGAAGUGGCCAGUCGACACAAAAGAGAGGAGAGGAGUCUCAUUACAAAUCUUUGGUG